UUAAACCCCAUGGCGAUUUGACUGUGUUCGUGGGAUCUGAGCGCUGUUUGGAUAUAUUGAGCGCUCAGAUCCAAGUUAUCUGUGGGGGUUCUGUUCAGUAUGAUCGGAAUUAUGUAUUUUUACUGUUGUUGUGAAUAGAGGGAUUUUCUGUACCUGGAGAUAAUUGGCUUACCAAAACCAAGCCAUGCUUGCAGUCGGUUAAAAAAGACUUCCAGCUAACUUUUGAACCACUGGACCAAUUUGUAUGAGUUUGACAUAUGUUUGUAUUUGGAGUAUGAUUCUAAAAAUGUAAGUUUUAUGUGAAUGUGAUGUAUACUUUUAGAGUUAUGAAUAUUGAGUAAAACUGUGUAUUUUCCUGCCUGUGAUAAUUAUGUUAGCCCAUUGUGUUCAGUAAUUAUAUCACAGGCAGAGGGGAGGAUUUUGCUGUAAUGAAUGGGAGUGUCAGAC